AUGUGGGCUAAGAAUGAAAAACUCACUGAUCAUGACAACAUUCUCCUCACCGGCAAAUUCACAAAAGAAGAAGAAGUGAAAAAAACUGUUUUUGGCAGGAAUAGCAACCGAGCUCCUGGCCCGGAUAACAUACCAGCUGAGUUUUAUAAACACUGCUGGGACUUUGUUAAAAAUGAUAUUAUGCGCUUGUUUGAUGCUUUUCACGACAACACUUUAGAUGUUGCUCGCCUGAGUUAUGGGGUGAUCACCCUUAUCCCCAAAAUGAAUGGAGCUAAGAAAAUCCAACAAUAUAGACCGAUUUGCCUUCUCCGUUGCCCAUACAAACUUAUCACUAAAGUUUUGGACAACAGAGUGGCUAUUUUUGCUGAUAUUCUCAUCAGCAAACAUCAAAACGCCUUCAUAAAGCAUAGAAACAUUAUGGAUGGCAUUUUGACCCUGCAUGAAAUUCUUCACCACACGCAGUGA
rnacentral:rRNA from 1 species